CUUUCUCUCUUUUUUCUCUUUCUGCUUCUAUAUUGCUUCCACAUCCCUCUUCCUUUUGCUAUUCUUCUUCUCCCUUCUUUCUCUUUUGUUAUCUGAAACAAUAAUGGUGUCUGAAUCGGUUUACGGAUAUAGACUGGAUCGAGUUUUACCGCUGAGUUAUGAAGCUAACUAGGUCUGAAUAAACACCAGUUCAAACGUAACAACUGUUAUCGCCUUUGUGAAGUUAGCGCUGACCAAUUUCUUGCAGAAAUUGAAGAGAAGCUGAGGAGUUUGUUUCCAACAAGUGGGCUUUUUCCAGGUAUAUAUGGAAUUAUUGAUUAAUGGUGUAGAAUCGUAUUUUAAUGUUCUUCUAUUUGAUGCAGUUUUUUUAUUAUUGCUUCUCUACAUACAUCUUGGAUAUGGUUCAUCACUUCCUUAGUUUUAUUGUUUUUGU